rnacentral:rRNA from 1 species
GUGCCAGCCGCCGCGGUAACACGUAGGGGGCAAGCGUUGUUCGGAAUUAUUGGGCGUAAAGGGCAUGUAGGCGGUUUUGUAAGCCUGGUGUGAAAUCCUGCAGCUUAACUGUAGAAUUGCAUCGGGUACUGCAAGACUUGAAUCACAGAGGGGAAACUAGAAUUCCAGGUGUAGGGGUGGAAUCUGUAGAUAUCUGGAAGAAUACCGGUGGCGAAGGCGGGUUUCUAGCUGAUGAUUGACGCUGAGGUGCGAAAGUGCGGGGAGCAAACAGGAUUAGAAACCCGCGUAGUCC